GACGAACGCUGGCGGCGUGCUUAACACAUGCAAGUCGAGCGGAAAGGCCCUGCGGGGUUCUCGUGCGGCGAACGCGAGCGUAACAGGAACAUGACCUUCCCCUGCCCUUGAGUUAACCAUCGCUUACGGGGACUAAUACUGAUAACUGAUUCUAGCUCCUGCUGCAUGGUUGGGGUUGGUUAUCUUCUUCGGUUGGGGAUGGACUCGCGGCGUAUCAGCUUGUUGGUGGGGUAAUGGCCUACCAAGGCGGUGACGGGUAGCCGGCCUGAGAGGGUGACCGGCCACACUGGGACUGAGACACGGCCCAGACUCCUACGGGAGGCAGCAGUGGGGAAUAUUGCACAAUGGGCGGAAGCCUGAUGCAGCGACGCCGCGUGAGGGAUGACGGCCUUCGGGUUGUAAACCUCUUUCGGCAGGGACGAAGCGUAAGUGACGGUACCUGGAGAAGAAGCGCCGGCCAACUACGUG
rnacentral:rRNA from 1 species